CGGUAAUUCCAGCUCCAAUAGCGUAUACUAAAGUUGUUGCAGUUAAAAAGCUCGUAGUUGGAUUUCUGCGGGGACGGAGCGGCCGGACGCAACUUGCGUCUCGAGCUAGCGCUUUCCCCGCAUCCUGCCGCGAACCGUGCUACCAUUAGUUUGGUGGCGCUGGGGAUCGGCUCGAUUACUUUGAGAAAAAUAGAGUGUUCAAAGCAGGCCACACGCCUUGAAUAAGUUAGCAUGGAAUAAUGACUAAGGACUUUGGUUCUUUUCGUUGGUGUUCGGGACUGAAGUAAUGGUUGAUAGGGACAGUUGGGGCGGUCCGUAUUCCAAAGCGAGAGGUGAAAUUCUUAGACCUUCGGAAGACGAACAGCUGCGAAAGCGUUCCGCAAGGAUGUUCCCUUUGAUCAAGAACGAAAGUUGGGGGAUCGAAGACGAUCAGAUACCGUCGUAGUCUCAACUAUAAACUAUACCAGCUAGGGAUCGGCCAACGUUUAAUUAUUCGACUUGGUCGGCACCUUAUGAGAAAUCAAAGCAUCUGGGUUCCGGGGGGAGUAUGGUCGCAAGGCUGAAACUUAAAGGAAUUGACGGAAGGGCACCACCAGCCGUGGAGCCUGUGGCUUAAUUUGACUCAACACGGGAAAACUUACCAGGUCCAGACAUAGGAAGGAUUGACAGAUUGAUAGCUCUUUCUUGAUUCUGUGGGUGGUGGUGCAUGGCCGUUUUUAGUCGGUGAAGUGAUUUGUCUGCUUAAUUGCGUUAACGGACGAGACCCCAGCCUGCUAAAUAGCGCGGCCGAGCUUUGCUCGGUGCGAGCUUCUUAGAGGGACCAUGAUGCGCGAUAGCACAAGGAAGUUUGGGGCAACAACAGGUCUGUGAUGCCCUUAGAUGUUCUGGGCCGCACACGGGCUACACUGGCGCCUGCAACGAGCAUAUCAGCUGGCCCGAGAGGGUCUUGGCUAAUCUUUGGAACCAGCGCCGUGCUUGGGAUUGACCAUUGCAAUUGUUGGUCAUGCAACGAGGAAUGCCUUGUAAACGCGAGUCAUCAGCUCGCAUUGAAUACGUCCCUGCCCUUUGUACACACCGCCCGUCGCUCCUACCGAUGAAUGUUCCGAUGAAAUUUUCGGAGAGCGCCAGAGAACGGGGCUCUGCCUUGUAGAUCUGGAGGCUCAAAGUCACUUAAAUCUGAACAUUUCGAGGAAGGAGAAGUCGUAACAAGGUAACC
rnacentral:rRNA from 1 species